rnacentral:rRNA from 1 species
AUACGUAGGUGACAAGCGUUAUCCGGAUUUACUGGGCGUAAAGGGCGUGUAGGCGGUCUUGCAAGUCAGAAGUGAAAUUCCUGAGCUCAACUCGGGCGCUGCUUCUGAAACUGCAGGACUUGAGUGCUGGAGGGGAUAGCGGAAUUCCUAGUGGAGCGGUGAAAUGCGUAGAUAUUAGGAGGAACACCAGUGGCGAAGGCGACUUUCUGGACAGUAACUGACGCUGAGGUACGAAAGCGUGGGGAGCAAACAGGAUUAGAUACCCUGGUAGUCCACGCUGUAAACGAUGAGCACUAGGUGUCGGGCUAGCAAUAGUUCGGUGCCGCAGUUAACGCAAUAAGUGCUCCGCCUGGGGAGUACGCACGCAAGUGUGAAACUCAAAUGAAUUGACGGGG